GACGGCAGCACGGACUUCGGUCUGGUGGCGAGUGGCGAACGGGUGAGUAAUGUAUCGGAACGUGCCCAGUAGCGGGGGAUAACUACGCGAAAGCGUAGCUAAUACCGCAUACGCCCUACGGGGGAAAGCAGGGGAUCGCAAGACCUUGCACUAUUGGAGCGGCCGAUAUCGGAUUAGCUAGUUGGUGGGGUAACGGCUCACCAAGGCGACGAUCCGUAGCUGGUUUGAGAGGACGACCAGCCACACUGGGACUGAGACACGGCCCAGACUCCUACGGGAGGCAGCAGUGGGGAAUUUUGGACAAUGGGGGAAACCCUGAUCCAGCCAUCCCGCGUGUGCGAUGAAGGCCUUCGGGUUGUAAAGCACUUUUGGCAGGAAAGAAACGUCAUGGGUUAAUACCCCGUGAAACUGACGGUACCUGCAGAAUAAGCACCGGCUAACUACGUGCCAGCAGCCGCGGUAAUACGUAGGGUGCAAGCGUUAAUCGGAAUUACUGGGCGUAAAGCGUGCGCAGGCGGUUCGGAAAGAAAGAUGUGAAAUCCCAGAGCUUAACUUUGGAACUGCAUUUUUAACUACCGGGCUAGAGUGUGUCAGAGGGAGGUGGAAUUCCGCGUGUAGCAGUGAAAUGCGUAGAUAUGCGGAGGAACACCGAUGGCGAAGGCAGCNNNCUGGGAUAACACUGACGCUCAUGCACGAAAGCGUGGGGAGCAAACAGGAUUAGAUACCCUAGUAGUCCACGCCCUAAACGAUGUCAACUAGCUGUUGGGGCCUUCGGGCCUUGGUAGCGCAGCUAACGCGUGAAGUUGACCGCCUGGGGAGUACGGUCGCAAGAUUAAAACUCAAAGGAAUUGACGGGGACCCGCACAAGCGGUGGAUGAUGUGGAUUAAUUCGAUGCANCGCGAAAAACCUUACCU
rnacentral:rRNA from 1 species